CUAGGGUUUCCAUAUUCCUCAAUUCCAUCUCAUUUCUGCAAAUCCAUCGAUCAUGGAGGAGAAGGCUAAAACCCUGAACUUUAUGCUGUAAUCGAACUUGAUUGGUCAAAGUUUGGAGCUUUAGUUGGUGGAAGACAUGAAGCAAUGACCACCACACUUCAAGAUUUGGAUGAUCCAGAUCGGAACAAGGUUGAAAGCAAUGGUUCCAGUGUUAUUAAUCACAAUACCCCUAUUUUAGAUGAGUCUAAAGGUAAAGGUAUUGAAACUGCGGACCCAGUGGGUUCACCUCCCUCAGUGAAAUCCUCACCAACAGCUAAAGGAUUUGGCUUGAAGAAAUGGAGGAGGAUCAGGCGGGAAGCACACAAGGAUGAGGACAGUAACACAGACAAUGCUAAGUUGUUGAAGCGUGGUUUGUCGAGCUCUGCUGCAAACUCAGCAAAACCUGUACAUUUGUCCACUGGAUCGAUCCGAAAUAGUGAUGGAUCUGUUUCUUCAGUAAAUGCACUAUUGGGUAGCCCUGAUGUUCUUGUUGAUGGCUUUGGUCUUAUUGGUAAUUCUGGGUUGGCGAUUCAUCCUAUAUUUUUGGGUGGAACAGACUCGGAAAAUAGUGAGGAUCGGAGUAGUAGGUCUUCGACUGCAGCCAGUGCUCCAAAGUCAAGGUACGAAGCACCUGUUUUCCAUGGUUAUAUGCCUGUUAAGAAUGGGCCAGGUACUUUGGGUGGGAAGAUGGGUACUUCAGCUCAGCAAUCUCAUCGGGGAAAG
rnacentral:misc_RNA from 1 species